AGUCCGGACACGCCCCUUUCCGCACACACGAGCCCCGCCUCUCAGGCCCGGACGGACACAGAGCGGCAGCCCGAACAGCCAAUCGCAGCGCGGGGCGGCCACACUGCGGGCGCAGGGAACGCUGCUGCCCCACCCCCACCGGGCUGGCGCGCCAGCGGGGCGGAGCCAGGCAGCAACCCCUCCCCCCCCCGGGCCUCCCUUCGCCUCAGAGACCCGGCAGCCGCCACCUGCCGACCCAGCCGGUGCCCUCUGCUCCGCCAGGAGGGGCCGGGGCCCACCCGGGCGGGCCAGCUCUGCUGCCAGGCCGCCCCCUCACAGACUCCGCCCCCGCCUCGCGGCGCCCAACCGCCACCCCCGGCGUGCUGGGCCCUGCCCGGCCGCCCGCCGGCCGGGUUCCGGCCCGUCACUACAGCAACAGAAAUAGUAGCUGGCAGGUGCACCACAGCAAGGGACACAAAGCGGGGGGGGGGGGGAGACGCGCACCCCAUGGCAAUGGACGCGCACCCCGGAGGAGCAACGGACGCGCACCCAAGGGCGAUGGACGCGCACCCCAUGGCAAUGGAUGUGCACCCGGGAGCAAUGGACAUGGACAUGCACGCCGGAGGAGGGACGGACGCGCACCUAAGGGCGAUGGACGCGCACCCCAUGGCGAUGGAUGUGCACCCGGGAGCAAUGGACAUGGACAUGCACCCCGGAGGAGGGACGGACGCGCACCUGGGACCGAUGGUCAUACACCUCCCAUGGCAAUGGAUGCGCGCACACAGAAGCGAUGGAUAUGUGCCUAUAAGAGCAAUGACUGCACACCAAGGAGGGACACACACACACGGGAUCACUAUUAAAGGGACACGUGGGCCCCAGUCCUGUGGGCAUCUUCUUACUUUUAGGGGCAUCACUGUGAACAACUGUGUACCCAUGCCACUCCCUCGCUGCUGCCAUGUUUGCAUGCAAUAACCCCCAUAACUGGACCCAUGCUUGUAACUAUCCAAACCUGACAGACCAGUGCAUAGAAUCCAGUACACACACCCAGCAAAGUGAACGAUUAAAAUAAUUGACACAUUCUACAUUAAAAGAAAAUUUAACUCCAUUAGUAAUUCUACUUGGUUUUGCCCUAUACAACGUUGCAGGCAUGUUAAAUUCUUGAUAUGGUGGCUGAGGAAGUAGCUUUCUAUCAAAUCGAGUCAAAAUAAACUGAUCUGAGAGAUGCUCACAGAUCCCAAAUGACUAUUGGAUAACACUUUGCAGUGAGAAACAAGGAAGCCAGCUGUCUUAAAACCCAAAGAUUUCCUCCUCCUGGCCUUAAAAUAAAUCCACAUUUGUUGAAUGUUGGCAUCACUUAGGUGGAGAAACUGAAGCAUGGAAAGGUAUAUGGUCCACCCUUCACUAAUGGCUCUGGUGCUCAACACUUCUGAAAAAAAUCAAACCAUAAGUGACUUGGCCCAAGGUUAAUGGCAGAACUAGGAACAGAUCCCAGGAGUCUUGACUCCCAGUCUCCUGCUCUAACCAUUCUAUCUACUCCAUCCUAAUAAGGGUCCCAUUACAAAAGCUGCAAGAGAGUCAGAAAAAGGAGAUGAAUGCAGCCAAAAUCCUUGCCAUCAGCCUGGGCCUGCUGGGGUCAGCCUGUAUCAGACCACAAUGGAUCUCGGAGUUAUUUGUGGGGUACACAUUGCCUCGAUGCCCACCUUUGCACAACCCUUCAGCAAUGACUUGGGCUCCCAAGAACUGGCCACAGUUCUUUCUACAGAUUCCAGGGCUUGGCUAUGCUACCUAUCCAUACAGGCACAGCUCCCCC